rnacentral:rRNA from 1 species
CCUACGGGUGGCAGCAGUGAGGAAUAUUGGUCAAUGGACGAGAGUCUGAACCAGCCAAGUAGCGUGAAGGCUGACUGCCCUAUGGGUUGUAAACUUCUUUUAUAUGGGAAUAAAAUGUUCCACGUGUGGGAUUUUGUAUGUACCAUAUGAAUAAGGAUCGGCUAACUCCGUGCCAGCAGCCGCGGUAAUACGGGGGAUCCGAGCGUUAUCCGGAUUUAUUGGGUUUAAAGGGAGCGUAGGUGGACUGUUAAGUCAGUUGUGAAAGUUUGCGGCUCAACCGUAAAAUUGCAGUUGAAACUGGCAGUCUUGAGUACAGUAGAGGUGGGCGGAAUUCGUGGUGUAGCGGUGAAAUGCUUAGAUAUCACGAAGAACUCCGAUUGCGAAGGCAGUUCACUGGACUGCAACUGACACUGAGGCUCGAAAGUGUGGGUAUCAAACAGGAUUAGAUACCCCGGUAGUC